rnacentral:rRNA from 1 species
UACGAAGGGGGCGAGCGUUGUUCGGAAUCACUGGGCGUAAAGGGCGCGUAGGCGGCCCUUCUUGUCGCGUGUGAAAGCCCCGGGCUCAACCUGGGAAUGGCGCGCGAGACGGGGGGGCUGGAGUUCGGGAGAGGAGCGUGGAAUUCCCAGUGUAGAGGUGAAAUGCGUAGAUAUUGGGAGGAACACCAGUGGCGAAGGCGGCUCACUGGACCGGAACUGACGCUGAGGCGCGAAAGCGUGGGGAGCAAACGGG